GACGGGGGGGGCGAAGUGUUCUUCGGAAUGACUGGGCGUAAAGCGCACGUAGGCGGCUUUGUAAGUUAGAGGUGAAAGCCCAGGGCUUAACCCUGGAAUUGCCUUUAAGACUGCAUCGCUAGAAUCGUGGAGAGGUAAGUGGAAUUCCGAGUGUAGAGGUGAAAUUCGUAGAUAUUCGGAAGAACACCAGUGGCGAAGGCGACUUACUGGACACGUAUUGACGCUGAGGUGCGAAAGCGUGGGGAGCAAACAGGG
rnacentral:rRNA from 1 species